CCCUUAGAUGUCCUGGGCUGCACGCGCGCUACACUGAUGUGUCCAGUAAGCACCUAACCUCUUCCGAAAGGAACGGGUAACCUUUGCAAAGCACAUCGUGAUGGGGAUAGAUUAUUGCAAUUAUUAGUCUUGAACGAGGAAUUCCUAAUAAGCACAAGUCAUCAGCUUGUGUUGAUUACGUCCCUGCCCUUUGUACACACCGCCCGUCGCUCCUACCGAUUGAAUGUUCCGGUGAGCUCUUCGGACUGCGCGGUCUGCAGUUUCUGCGUUCCGUGCGGAAAGUUGCGCAAACCUUAACAUUUAGAGGAAGGAGAAGUCGUAACA
rnacentral:rRNA from 1 species